rnacentral:rRNA from 1 species
GUCGGGAAGGGAUAAGCGCUGAAAGCAUAUAAGCGCGAAACCCACCACAAGAUGAGAUUUCUUUAAAGGGCCGUGGGAGACUACCACGUUGAUAGGCCGUAGGUGCAGGGGCAGCAAUGUCCGUAGCCGAGCGGUACUAAUAGCCCGUAAGCUUAUGUACGCC